rnacentral:rRNA from 1 species
UGCAGUCGAGCGAGAAAAGGGUAGCAAUACCCUGAGUACAGCGGCGCACGGGUGAGUAACACGUGGGUAAUCUGCCCUGGAGUGGGGAAUAACACCGGGAAACCGGUGCUAAUACCGCAUACGAUCACGAUGUCUGCGGAUGUUGUGAUGAAAGGAGCAAUUCGCUCCAGGAGGAGCCCGCGGCUGAUUAGCUAGUUGGUGAGGUAAUGGCUCACCAAGGCUACGAUCAGUAUCCGGUCUGAGAGGACGGUCGGACACACUGGAACUGAGACACGGUCCAGACUCCUACGGGAGGCAGCAGUGGGGAAUUUUUGGCAAUGGGGGAAACCCUGACCAAGCAACGCCGCGUGGGUGAUGAAGUCUCUUGGGACGUAAAACCCUUUCGACGGGGAAGAAACCGCAAGGUUGACGGUACCCGUAGAAGAAGCCCCGGCUAACUCCGUGCCAGCAGCCGCGGUAAUACGGGGGGGGCAAGCGUUGUUCGGAAUUACUGGGCGUAAAGGGUGCGUAGGCGGUGCGCUAAGUCGGAUGUGAAAACUCUGGGCUCAACCCAGAGCCUGCAUCCGAAACUGGCGUGCUAGAGUUCUGGAGGGGGUAGCGGAAUUCCUGGUGUAGCGGUGAAAUGCGUAGAUAUCAGGAGGAACACCGGUGGCGAAGCGGCUACCUGGACAGAAACUGACGCUGAGGCACGAAAGCUAGGGGAGCAAACAGGAUUAGAUACCCUGGUAGUCCUAGCCCUAAACGAUGGAUACUUGCUGUGACUGGGAUGAAUCCAGUCGUGCGAAGCUAACGCAUUA